UGGCCCAGAUCGUUUACCGUGAAAAAAUUAGAGUGUUCAAAGCAGGCAGAUCCAAUUUUCUGCCACCGAAUACAUUAGCAUGGGAUAAUGGAAUAGGACCCUGUCCUCCUAUUUUCAGUUGGUUUUGGCAGCGCGAGGACUAGGGUAAUGAUUAAUAGGGAUAGUUGGGGGCAUUAAUAUUUAAUUGUCAGAGGUGAAAUUCUUGGAUUUAUGAAAGAUUAACUUCUGCGAAAGCAUCUGCCAAGGAUGUUUUCAUUAAUCAAGAACGAAAGUUAGGGGAUCGAAGACGAUCAGAUACCGUCGUAGUCUUAACCAUAAACGAUGCCGACCAGCGAUUAGGAGACGUUGAAUACAAAACCCACCAUCGGUUGCGGUCGUCCUUGGCGUCUCGGUUUCGGCCGGGGCGCGGGGAUGGCUAGCCCCGGGACCCCCG
rnacentral:rRNA from 1 species